CCUCCUCGAUCUGCUGCGGACAGAUGAAGUGGAUGUGGCUGUCGAAACCGCCGGCCGUGACGAUCUUACCUUCCGCCGCGAUUGCCUCGGUGCCAGGUCCGAUGACGAUAUCGACAUUCGGCUGGGUGUCGGGAUUGCCAGCCUUGCCGAUCUUGGCGAUGCGCCCGUCCUUGAGUCCGAUAUCGGCCUUGUAGAUGCCGGUGUGGUCGAGGAUCAACGCGUUGGUUAUCACCGUGUCGACAGCGCCGUCGGCCCGCGAAUGCUGGGACUGGCCCAUACCGUCGCGG
rnacentral:sRNA from 1 species